GGAUGUGAGGGCGACCUGGCUGCGACAUCUGUCACCCCAUUGAUCGCCAGGGUUGAUUCGGCUGAUCUGGCUGGCUAGGCAGGUGUCCCCUUCCUCCCUCACCACUCCAUAUGCAUCCCUCCUGAAGCUGCGUGCUUGGGAAGAGGACAGCCUUCCUCAAUUAGAGAUGGGCGGUCUUUGGUCGAGGGCAUAUAUAGCUACGCUCCCCUGCUAGAACCUCCAAACAAGCUCUCAAGGUCCAAAGCUGUGUACUUAGUCAGAAAGGACGGCUUUCCCCAAACAGAGAUGGACCAGUCUUCGGUUGAGG
rfam:Erinaceus europaeus unplaced genomic scaffold scaffold00183, whole genome shotgun sequence